UACGGAGGGUGCAAGCGUUAAUCGGAAUUACUGGGCGUAAAGCGCACGCAGGCGGUCUGUCAAGUCGGAUGUGAAAUCCCCGGGCUCAACCUGGGAACUGCAUCCGAAACUGGCAGGCUAGAGUACGGUAGAGGGUGGUGGAAUUUCCUGUGUAGCGGUGAAAUGCGUAGAGAUCUGGAGGAAUACCGGUGGCGAAGGCGGCCCCCUGGACAAAGACUGACGCUCAGGUGCGAAAGCGUGGGGAGCAAACAGG
rnacentral:misc_RNA from 1 species